rnacentral:misc_RNA from 1 species
UUUCACAUAUAAGUUAUGUAGCUAACAAUAUGUUAAAAUAACUAUUAUAUGCUCCAAAAAUAUCUAGUUGCUCAUAUAAAUAAAAUAAAAAUAUAAUAUUCUUAAAAUAUAAUGAUGAAUAUGAAAAGUUUAAACCAAACAUCAGUAAUGAACAAACAAGCAAAUAAACCUAAUCUAAAUGUCAUCAUAGCAUAGGCCACCAUGAUGAAAAGAGGGAGGAUCUGGAUCAGCAGCUGAAGAUUGAGAGGUCUGGGUGAACUCGCUCCUGUAUCUCUUUCAUUUGCACAUGCAUCAUCUGUUGCUCCUGCAGUCGUUGCUGGUCUCUCUCCUCCAAUAUAGCAAUACUCCACCGUCACUGCUGAAACUCGUCCUCCAAUGAUCCAUCUAGAUGCAGGAUGAUUCAGCUUUAGAUGCAUGAUAUGAUUGAGGGUAGAAUGCAGAAGCUUGGGAGCCGACUCCAUACACUCUUUGCUUUUUCACCCCUCCCACGGCCUUAUAGUAUAACUGUGUCUCGUCCAAUUCCUUCUGUGGCUGAGACAUCUCCUCUUUAAGUGUCAAAUAGCGAUCAUAAAUGGCCUGAGACCGUGCGUCAAUGAACUCAGAGGUGCCCUUCCUAGUAUGAGUCUCCUUGAAGAGCUCAUGUGGAAGAGGCUCUCUUCCUAGCUUUGAUCUCAUUCUUUCAUUAUGUCGUGUGUGGGAAAUAGAUCCCCCUGUAUGGCGUGAAAUGCCUGAGCCUGGACCACCUGUCUCGCUGCGACGAUUGGCUGAAAACUGCUCACAGCGGGUCUUGAACUCAGGGGUGCUCCACGCCUCAUUCCAUUUUUUCCAUGUAGCAUCUGAUAAAUGUAUGGACCUUUCUUUUCCUUUCCUUAUUUUAUGCAUGAGGGCGCGAUAGCGCUCGGCAGCCUUACGCUGCCAGGCCGUCUUCACUAGGGUCGACACAACCUCAUCCCACAUGAAGCAUUUCUGAAAUUCUUGCCAAUAGAAAUCCUUUGUCUCCUUGGAGACGUUUUUCCAGCAGUAGCCAUCCUCGUCUAGCUUCUCCCUGAAUAUGGAAGUGAUCUUCCUAGCACAGACAUCAGAUGGAUGCAAUUUGUUACCAUCGAGUGUAAUGUGUGGUCUGUCAUUUGAUCCAAAAAUGGACCUUGCAUCUACAGAUGCAGCAGGAGCAGAGGAUAACCGUCCAGCAGGAGCAGCAGAUGAUGAAGCAACAGAUCCCAUAGCAACAGCUGUAGCAUCAGCAGCAUCAUGGGAAGAACUAAUGUCUAUUGCUGGAGGGAAGCAUAAUGUGGAUGGUGAUAAUGCAAAGUGCUCUGCAGCAGUACAUGGCUCACCUUGAGAGCCUGCAUCAACUUCAGUGGAAGGUGCAGUGUCAGAAUCAGAGGCGAUCUCUCGGCCAUAACCUCUUCCAUGCUCUGAAUGGCCUCUACCAAAUGUAGACCCUUGGGAACUACCAAAUCCCCUAAUCCUGGUUACAGCUAACUUGUCAAAACCUCGAUUUUGAGAAGCUGAAGUGCCAUCUUUCUCAAAUGUAGUAACCAUGUCUGAGUCAAGCUCCCACCCUUUAUGAGCUCCAUUUGCUUGCCCUCCUUGCCAAUUCUUAUUCAUUGUAGAAAAAUCCACUGAGAAAUCCCAUUCAUCUUCUGAGCUGGAGGAACUUAAACUGUCAGACCCAUCUUGAGAUUUAUUAUCUGACGCCAUUUUCUCUUCACAUUGUAGCAAAACAGCUGGCUUUGAUGGAAUAAAUUCUCUUGCACUGUUAUUAGUUCCAAAAGACAAGCUUGCUGCUGAAUAAUUCAUGGCAGGAGAAAUAUUAAGCAUAUGGAUAAUCUUUUGAGUUUUAGUCAUCUUAAGUUUUAGUCAUCUUAAGUUUAUCAGUUGUACAAUUAUCAUCAACAUCUUGAUUAUUAUCAUUCCCUCCUUCAAUGACACUUGAAGCCCUUUUUCUUUUGAGCACUCCAGUCCCAUGCCGAGCAACUGUUUGCCCUGAAUGUGCAUGGCCCACAUGUGUUGUGAUAGCCAUCUCUUUUGUACCCAAAAAUUCACACGGAGAAGAGUCAUCAUCACUAUCCAUCAUCAGAUAGACAUAAUUAAAUUGAUUUAUCUACAUGUCAAUUCACUUACUGCAUAUUAUUGUUAAAACGCCUCUCAAGAAAACACAGUUCUGACUCUCCUGGCUCUCACUAGAAACCCAUUCUAUCUGGGAAAUUUCCUACUCAUUUACCUAAAAAUACUUUAUUAGAAACUUUCUCAUUUAUCUUCACCUAAUCUUUAUCAAAUUACUGAUUAACAGUUGUAACCUUCCCGCUUCUCACCUGAAAACUAUCAUAGAUCAAAAAUGACCAAAACAUUCUCAUAGCAUAAGGAAAUAUAUGCCGAUCCAUAAAAUAUUUAUAAUAUCAUCUUCUUGUAGAAGGAAGCAAAAUUCUUCCCUAUCAAAAAUUAAAAAAAAAAAAAAAUGAAUGAAUUCUUAUACCCUUUGGCUUUUAUUUGCUAAUUCUAAAUGAAGAGUAUCACUGGCUACAAAGCCGAUGAUGAACCAAUUAUCAAGUAUCUUCUUUAUAUUGAUCAUCUUUGACCAUCACUUACCAAUGAGUCCUUUCCUUCCUUGAUAAUAACCUUUCUAACAGAAAUCUUGCAUUAAAUCAGCAUACUUAAACAGUAUGCAACCAUCAAUUAAAAGAAAUAAUCCAUUUAGGUGACUUAUAUAAAUCCUAAUCAAUAUAUAGUGACUCUGAUAUACCAGUUCCAUUCUUAUCUUGCUUACCGCAAUAUCCAGGACCUUUCUGCUCCAAAUCAACAAGAUGUUCACUUGUACACCCACCAUUUGUUCUACCUUCAACCUAUUCAUUUUUGCUCAUUAUCUUUUUUUUCUGUCACUCCACAUAACAAGCAAAUACAAAUUAAAGAAUUCAGCAAUACCUGCAGUAUCCAUAUCACCAUCCCCAUGCUCUAUUGAGUUACAAUUAAGACAUGCAUUUGUCUCCAAAAGCACAUUUUCAUCGCAAUCAAUCACAUGCACCUCAUUUUGGACAAGCUUUUCACUUGUCUUCCCAACAUUUAAUCUACUCUCAACUUCCCUAAUUGUUGUUCUUUUCUUCUCCUCUGUCAUUCCAAAGCAACAUUAUCUUUAAAUUGAAAGAAAUCUAUUAUGUUAACAAAUAAUAAUGCAAAUAAAGAAACAAGAAUUCUUAAGCACCUGUUAUUUUCAAAUCUCUAUCUCCAUCCUCCGGUACAAGACAAUUAGGGCUGUCACCUACCCUGUAAUGCGCAUUUUCAUUCUUGUCCAAUCCAAUCUUCAUAGUAUUAAGUUUUUCAACACUUUCCUCAUUUUCAAUAAUAACCUUCCCUCCCAAAAACACCCUAGAAACCCUAGCAUUUGUGUAAUCCAAUGGCUCCACACUCUUCAACAGUUCAUCAAAUAUCCUCUUAUAAAUUUCUGCCUCUGUCUCAGCUUUCAACUUAGCACUUUCUAAUUCAAUGUUUUUUCUUGUAAGCUCAAUUAUAGUUUGUUUCUGUACUACAUCAGCUUGUAAUCUCUCAUUUAAAUCAUUUAGCUCUUGGCUAAGUCGAGAAUUCAACUCCCUUAACUCAAUACACUCUCUCGAGCAACUCUCUAGCUCAUUCUCGAUCCUUAUUUUCUCUAGUCUUUCCAGUUCCAACAACCCAUUUUGUUUCUCGAGCUGCUCAUUUUCUUUCGCCUUCACUUUAAUUUCGCAUUUCAAUUUCUGCUGGCGGAGACCCAAGACUGUCUCAACGUCAGAAAAUUGCGAUCUUCGAAAUGCCGAUUUCAAUGAUGAUAUCAACUCCGAUACCGAGGAACUGGAAAUGUCAAUAUUGCCAUCAAAGACAUUGUCGACAGCCAUUUUUCCCCAGAAAACCAAAAAUUAAUUCAAAAAUUAACAAGCCCAGAUCACAUUUUCCACUUUGAGCAGAGGGUUGUCAUGAUUAGGGCAUAUGAGAAGAAAAUGCAGAUAAUAUGAAGAGGGGAGAAGCAGGUUUUUCGUGGAUUGAAGAAUUUGGUCUUCUUUCACAGUAAGAAAGAAUCUGUGGCACAAGCUGCUUUUUUUUUUUUCUCU